rnacentral:rRNA from 1 species
CAGCAGCCGCGGUAAUACGUAGGUCCCGAGCGUUGUCCGGAUUUAUUGGGCGUAAAGCGAGCGCAGGCGGUUAGAUAAGUCUGAAGUUAAAGGCUGUGGCUUAACCAUAGUACGCUUUGGAAACUGUUUAACUUGAGUGCAAGAGGGGAGAGUGGAAUUCCAUGUGUAGCGGUGAAAUGCGUAGAUAUAUGGAGGAACACCGGUGGCGAAAGCGGCUCUCUGGCUUGUAACUGACGCUGAGGCUCGAAAGCGUGGGGAGCAAACAGGAUUAGAUACCCGGGUAGUCCCUGUCUCUUAUACA